GACGAACGCUGGCGGCGUGCCUAAUACAUGCAAGUAGAACGCACAGUUUAUACCGUAGCUUGCUACACCAUAGACUGUGAGUUGCGAACGGGUGAGUAACGCGUAGGUAACCUGCCUGGUAGCGGGGGAUAACUAUUGGAAACGAUAGCUAAUACCGCGUAAUAUUAAUUAUUGCAUGAUAAUUAAUUGAAAGGUGCAAUUGCACCACUACCAGAUGGACCUGCGUUGUAUUAGCUAGUAGGUGAGGUAACGGCUCACCUAGGCGACGAUACAUAGCCGACCUGAGAGGGUGAUCGGCCACACUGGGACUGAGACACGGCCCAGACUCCUACGGGAGGCAGCAGGAGGGAAUCUUCGGCAAUGGACGGAAGUCUGACCGAGCAACGCCGCGUGAGUGAAGAAGGUUUUCGGAUCGUAAAGCUCUGUUGUAAGAGAAGAACGGGUGUGAGAGUGGAAAGUUCACACUGUGACGGUAUCUUACCAGAAAGGGACGGCUAACUACGUG
rnacentral:rRNA from 1 species